rnacentral:lncRNA from 1 species
UGAAAUGUAAGACACAAUGAUCGGCUUCUAAGAUUUCACCUCAACUCUAGCUCCAUGUCUAUGCAGUAAGAAAAAUAGGAUUUCAAAUAGACAUACAUAUGUUUGUCUAUGGAACAAAAAAAAUAGCAUUUCAAAUAGACAUACAGACGUUUAUCAAGAAGGAAGAGACAUACAUGCAUAUGUUUAUCAAGAAUAAAAAGAGAAAAUGUAAAAGUUUAGGCUCAAUUAUUAGGAAAUCAUUUCGAAGGGUAACUCAAGUAUACCUCUCAACAAUAAUAGGAUCUGGAUCCUCUUUAAAAAAAACUGUACAAAAACUUGUCUAUGUUUCUACAACUGCAUAAACAACAAAAACUUUCACGGCUAUUAUUAACCUAGGUUAGACAGAGAUCACGAGCCCAUGGUUUUGCGUAAACCCCCAAGCGCCAUUUCUUCGCUUAGGCUAGAGAGAGAUCACUAGCCAUGGUUUUGCGUAAACCCCCAGAGAGAGAUCACAAGCCCAUGGUUUUGCGUAAACCCCCAAGCGCCACUUCUCCGAUUGACAAUCGGCCAUCAAUACUUUGCCAUCAAUACUUUCUACAGUAAUCCAUAUCAAUACUUUGGACACUUCGUCAUUUAUGGAAAAGUAAAGUUUAUGACAGAAUUCUCAGAGAGAUUUUAAAACGAGAGAGAGCUUGCUGCGAUGAAAAAAAAAAAAACGUACUCUUUAGAUAACUAAAAUAAUAUCGGUUAAGAUUUCGAUAGUAACAACAUGAUUUAUAUUAUCCUAUCUAUCCCUAAAUAUUGAUGUCCCUCGUAAUAUGACUUCUCUUAAUCUACAUACUACAAAUCUUUCUACCCAACAAAUUAUUGCAAGGUUGUGUCCAAAUUUAUCUCUAAGAAAGUUGUAAGCACCGUGAAGAAAAAAAUAGAAAAGCAAAAUCUCCCAUCACUAGACAAUGGUAUCAUUUUUAUUAAUGAUUUUGCCAUUCUAACCAAUUUCAGCUGGCUCAAAAAAUAUAAAAAAUAAAUAAAUAAAUAAGGCACAAAACUUUUGGGGUCUCGUAGUACUCAUCUAAUGUUUUCAAGUUUGCCUUAGCCAAGGGUGGUUGAGGAGAUAACUUGAUUGUGUCCAUCGAGUCAUGUCCACCAUGAAAAUUGUUGAAAAAUAAAUAAAAGGUAAAAUUUUGUGAAAAGAUAGUAUAAUUUUUAAAUAUUUCAUCUUUUAUGUAUUUUCUCUUCUUUUUCUAUUUUUUCAAUUAUUUCUAUUACUUACUUUUGAUUUUUUAAAAUUUGAUUUAUACAAUGAAUAUUUCAGAAAAAUCAAGAAAAUCGAAAAAAUAAAAGAUUGGAACAUGUCAUAAUAAAAUUUCCCGAAUCAUACUAAAACCCCUUAAAAUCAUCCAAAAAGAAAGUGGUAUUUUUUUUUUAAGAACUAUUUUAUAUUUUAAUCAUAUUUUUUUUGGUAUCUCGACAUGUUGCUAUGGAAUUCAUCCCUACUCGGCCUCAGACCCAAGCCCGAGUUGCUCGGCCGAUAGAGAGAUUAAGAAAAGAUUAAGAGAGACAUAGAUAGGGGAAAGACAAAAAUAGAAAUACAAAAGAAAUAUAUAAAAGACUGAUCAAUAUAAUAUAGAAAAUUAAGGAAUUGAGAUUCAG